GGAAUAUUGGACAAUGGGGGCAACCCUGAUCCAGCAAUGCCGCGUGUGUGAAGAAGGCCUUCGGGUUGUAAAGCACUUUCAUUGAGGAGGAAAAGCUGUGCGUUAAUAGCGUACAGCCGUGACGUUACUCAAAGAAGAAGCACCGGCUAACUCCGUGCCAGCAGCCGCGGUAAUACGGAGGGUGCAAGCGUUAAUCGGAAUUACUGGGCGUAAAGCGCGCGUGGGCGGUUUAUUAAGUCAGAUGUGAAAUCCCCGGGCUCAACCUGGGAAUGGCAUUUGAGACUGGUAGGCUAGAGUGUGGUAGAGGUGAGUGGAAUUUCAGGUGUAGCGGUGAAAUGCGUAGAGAUCUGAAGGAACAUCAGUGGCGAAGGCGACACCCUGGACUCAUACUGACACUGAGGUGCGAAAGCGUGGGGAGCAAAC
rnacentral:rRNA from 1 species